rnacentral:lncRNA from 1 species
AUGGCGCAGCGAGCCGCAGCCCCCCAAACCUCAUCCCCGGGGGCUCCCUCCCUGCUUCGUCCCAUCCCGGCACGUCCCAGGGUGGCGUUAGCAGGGCUCGGAGCUGCCGUGGUGCUGCUGUGCGUGGUGCUGGGCCCCGAGCCCAGCGAGGCUCAGCCCUUCCCUUUCCGAGACCCAACGCUGCCCUGGCACCGCCGCCUCGAGGAUCUGCUGGGCCGGCUGAGCCCCGCUGAGAUGGUGCUGCAGGUAGCCAGGGGGGGAGCUCUGGGGAACGGCCCCGCGCCCCCCAUCCCGCGCCUGGGCAUCGCGCCCUACAACUGGAACACCGAGUGCCUGCGGGGCGACGCGGAGGCGCCCGGGUGGGCCACGGCUUUCCCCCAAGCCCUGGGGCUGGCCGCUGCUUUCAGCCCCGAGCUCGUGUACCGGGUGGCCAACGCCACGGCCACCGAGGUGCGCGCCAAGCACAACCACUUCGCUGCCACCGGCCGCUACGACGACCACACGGGGCUCAGCUGCUUCAGCCCCGUGCUCAACAUCAUGAGGCACCCGCUGUGGGGCAGGAACCAGGAAACCUACGGGGAGGACCCGUUCCUGAGCGGGGAGCUGGCGGUGAGCUUCGUGCAGGGGCUGCAGGGUCGGCACCCGCGCUACAUCAAGGCCAGCGCCGGCUGCAAGCACUUCAGCGUGCACGGGGGCCCCGAGAACAUCCCUGUCUCCAGGCUCAGCUUCGAUGCCAAGGUGCUGGAGCGGGACUGGCGCACCACCUUCCUGCCCCAGUUCCAGGCGUGCGUGCGCGCCGGGUCCUACAGCUUCAUGUGCAGCUACAACAGGAUCAACGGCGUUCCCGCCUGCGCCAACAAGAAGCUGCUGACGGACAUCCUGCGGGGCGAGUGGGGCUUCGAGGGCUACGUGGUGAGCGACGAGGGGGCCGUGGAGCUCAUCAUGCUGGGGCACCACUACACCCGCACCUUCCUGGAGACGGCCAUCGCGUCGGUGAACGCCGGCUGCAACCUGGAGCUGUCUUACGGGAUGAGGAACAACGUCUUCAUGCACAUCCCCCAGGCCCUGGCCGCGGGCAACAUCACGCUGGAGACGCUGCGCGCCAGGGUGCGGCCCCUCUUCUACACGCGGCUGCGGCUGGGGGAGUUUGACCCCCCAGCCAUGAACCCUUACAGCUCCCUGGACCUCAGCGUGGUGCAGAGCCCCGAGCACCGCAACCUUUCUCUGGAAGCUGCUGUCAAGAGCUUUGUGCUGCUGAAGAACCAGCGGGGCACCCUGCCCCUGCGCGCCCGCGACCUCCCCGGCAAGCGCCUGGCGGUGGUGGGCCCCUUCGCGGAUAAUCCCCGGGUGCUUUUUGGGGACUACGCGCCGGUGCCGGAGCCGCGGCACAUCUACACGCCCCGGAGGGGGCUGCAGAUGCUGCCGGCCAACGUCAGCUUUGCAGCGGGGUGCCAGCAGCCGCGGUGCCAGCGGUACUCACGGGCAGAGGUGGAGGAGGUGGUGCGGGGAGCCGACGUGGUGCUGGUGUGCCUGGGGACAGGGAUAGACGUGGAGACGGAGGCGAAGGACCGGAGGGAUUUGGAGCUGCCAGGCCACCAGCUGGAGCUGCUGCAGGACGCCGUGCGGGCAGGUGCCCCCCAUGGAGAAUUACACCAUGGAGGGGCGGACGUACCGCUACUACGGGCAGGAGGCCCCGCUCUACCCCUUUGGGUACGGGCUGUCCUACACCACCUUCCAGUACCGGGACCUGGUGCUGAGCCCCCUGCUGCUGCCCGUCUGCGCCAACCUCUCCGUGUCCGUGGUGCUGGAGAACACGGGGCAGCGGGACGGCGAGGAGGUGGUGCAGCUCUACCUGCGCUGGGAGCAGCCCUCGGUGCCGGUGCCCCGCUGGCAGCUGGUGGCUUUCCGCCGCGUGGCCGUGCCGGCUGGCCGGGCGACCAAGCUGUCCUUCGAGGUGCUGGCUGCCCAGCGUGCUGUAUGGACGCAGCACUGGCAGCUGGAACCCGGCACCUUCACCCUUUUUGCCGGCGGGCAGCAGCCGGGCCAGCGGACGCGGGCACCCUCGGAGGUGCUGAGCGCACGGUUCAGCGCCAGCGGGGCCGCGCGGCCGCUGAGCGAGUGUUAGGGGUGGGAAGGGGCACGGGGAUGGGUCCCGGGCAUGGGGAUGGGGUCUGGGCACGGAGAGGGAUGGGGUCUGGGCAUUGGGAUGGGUUCUGGGCUUUGGGAUGGGGUCUGGGCACGGGGAGCAGGGGGAAGGAGGAGGCUGCUUGGACACCGGGAGCGCAGCGCGCUUACAAUAAAGUGCCCAGCACCACUCCAGGAGGCUGUGUCGGCUCAGGAUGGCUCGCUGCCCGGUGCUGCAUGGUGCUGCCACCCCCAAAAUCACCCUCCCCAAAGUUCAGAGCCCCCCCUGACUGCCCCGAGCUGCUGUGGGGUCAGAGCCACCACAGGGCUUGGCCGUUCCCACCGCUGCCUCUCCGUCCCCGCCGUGCUGCCCGCAUCCUGCUGAGUGCUCCUGGGGACGGAUCCAGCCCUGCCCCCCCGAGUUGGGGGGAGAAAUUCCCCCCCCCUGCUCCCCCCCUGGGCGCAGGGAAUGUGCUGGAGCUCACCCAGGCGGCUCCGGGCAGCUAUAAAUAA